rnacentral:misc_RNA from 1 species
AACGCACCUUGCGCUCGCUGGUAUUCCGGCGAGCAUGCCUGUUUGAGUGUCAUGAACUCUUCAACCCUCCAAUUCCUUGUUUGAAUUGCGAGGUGUUUGGAUCUUGAACAUUGCUGGCUUUCAAAGUCUAGCUUGUUUGUAAUGCAUUAGCAUCUCAAUUUGAAUUUAAUUCGGUUUGACUUGGCGUGAUAGACUUUUUAUAUUCGCUGAGGACACUUCAUCUAGUGGCCGAAUUUCAGACUGGAAGCUUCUAAUACCCAAUUCUGAAAAGUCUAAUAUAAGAUUAGACCUCAGAUCAGGCAGGACUACCCGCUGAACUUAA